rnacentral:rRNA from 1 species
UACGUAGGGGGCAAGCGUUGUCCGGAAUCAUUGGGCGUAAAGCGCGCGUAGGCGGCCUGGUAAGUCCGCUGUGAAAGUCAAAGGCUCAACCUUUGAAUGUCAGCGGAUACUGCCAGGCUAGAGUCCGGAAGAGGCGAGUGGAAUUCCUGGUGUAGCGGUGGAAUGCGCAGAUAUCAGGAGGAACACCAACGGCGAAGGCAGCUUGCUGGGACGGUACUGACGCUGAGGCGCGAAAGCGUGGGGAGCGAACAGGA